UACGGGGGGGAGCAAGCGUUGUUCGGAUUUACUGGGCGUAAAGGGCGCGUAGGCGGUCAGCACAAGUCAGUUGUGAAAUCUCCGGGCUUAACUCGGAAAGGUCAACUGAUACUGUGCGACUAGAGUGCAGAAGGGGCAACUGGAAUUCUCGGUGUAGCGGUGAAAUGCGUAGAUAUCGAGAGGAACACCUGCGGCGAAGGCGGGUUGCUGGGCUGACACUGACGCUGAGACGCGAAAGCGUGGGGAGCAAACAGG
rnacentral:rRNA from 1 species